UCUCAGAGCUGGUCGUCAGGGAUCAUGAGACAAAGCUCAUUUCGAUGUCUGGCAUUCUAAGUGUCAGAACAAUUAAAGUAAAUGAAAGAAAACCUAAGGGGAUCUAUAACUCAGGGACAUUUAGUAGUUGGAAACAGAAAAUAACCAGAAGAAGAAGGGGGCAUCACAGUAAUGGGGGAUGGAAACAACCCAAUCCUCUGAAGGAAAGUACAAUUUCCUCUGCUGCCUCUGUAAGUGCCUGGGAAAUGGCACUGACUUCAGAAAUCCUGGAGAACCACUCCCACUACUACCCAGAAUGGGUCUGGCUGGUUCUGAUUUCAUUUGGCUCAAUGCAAGGCACCCGUCCCUGUCUAAAACUUUGAGUUGGCUGUUAACUUCGAUCUCUCUCCUUGACUCUGCUCUGACCCUUUCCUUGGUCCAAUAUUUUACUUAGUAUACUUCUACAAUAUCUACUGGCCCGGGUCACCAGGAAAAUUCAUCUGGCCCCUGUUCACAGCUACUCCCCUGAGCUCAAGUGAAGAACUCAUCUUGGUCUUACAACACCCACAUGCCUCGGAACCCCUCAGUCCCAAGUAAACAGGAAUAGUUAGGGGUCUCCCUGCUCCCAGCCCACAUUGGUCAUACAGCAAAUUGAUGGCAGAAGCAGGACCCUAGGUAUUUUAUUACUUUAUAUGUUAUUAUUUAACUUACUCAUAUUAAUGUACUCAUAUAGAAUUAUGUGAUAUAUUAAUAUAAUAAUUAUGUAUUAUGUGUUAUAUGACUGUAUAUAUAUAUUUAGAAUAAAUAUAUGUACAUUAAUAUACAUAUAUAAAAUAUAUAGAAUAUGUAUUAUAUAGAAUACAACUUUCAGAAGAUAACAUUGUGAGCAAGUAUCACAGAACUCACUUGUCUACAUGGAUAAAACAAUUAUAGCAAUAUUCACAGUGAAAUUUCUCAUUUUCAUCCCCUGUGAUCCUGCAGGCUUCAAAAAUACCUGUGUUGCUUUAUGCCAGUGUGUGCCCAAGUAAUAUAGAUUCAUUUCUAAUACUGCUCCAAAGUAAUGAGGUUAAGAAGUAUAUGUGCUAUUUAAAACCAAACAAUGAAUUCUAGACAUGAAAGAAAUGAUUCUAGGAUUACCUGAUUUCAUCAA